UACUCAGUCCAUCUUCUGCUUAGUAUGUGUAUUCAGACAGCUGUAACAUCUUAUGAAGAUCUUGGACUCUUUGCAUUUGGAUUACCUGGAAAGUUGGUGGUGGCAGGCACCAUAAUAAUUCAGAAUAUUGGAGCUAUGUCAUCUUAUCUUUUAAUUAUUAAAACAGAGCUUCCUGCUGCUAUUGCAGAAUUUUUGACUGGAGACUAUAGUAGACAUAUAAAAUGAAGUUGUUGAGCCAGAUGAUCUCUAAGGUCUCUUCCAGCUCUAACAUUCCAUAACUGUGAUUCUGAGUUACUGCUGGGAGGAGGUAAAGUUAUCUUCAGUCCCACAGUUCAGUGCUUUGGUCAGUUAUAUGACUUUUAUGGACAUAAAUGAAUUGUGAUCUGAAAUAGUAUAAAGUAACUGGUGUACAGAAUUUCAAAAAGUGUUCCUUUAUUCCUGUGCAAGAGAAAAGAGUCCUGGUCCUGGGGAUUAAAUGCUCCCUUUUGUACAA
rnacentral:lncRNA from 10 species